GCUUUCGAUCGCCGCCGGCUCCGCGGACCCCACAAUUGCUGGCCUGGUCCCUCCGCAGUUGCUAUCGCUCCCUGCGCUGGACUGACAUCAAAUACGCUAGGACCGCAAUUACUGACGGGUGCGACCAUACCUGCACUAAUGCACCGGAUCCCAUCAGAGCUCCGAAGUUAAGCGUGCUUGGGCGAGAGUAGUACUAGUUUGGUUGACCCCCUCGGAAGUCCUCGUGUUGCAACCCUUUUCCCCUUUUGUACAAUUUUUUUUUACCCUUCUCGCCGCUGAAGCAAUUUUUUUCCCUAUCCCGCCCUCCAAGCGCUCCCCGCCGGCCCCUCGCUUUCGAUCGCCGAGGACUUCGCGGACCCCACAAUCGCUGGCCCGGUCCCUCCGCUGUUGCGAUCGCUCCCUUUGCUGGACUGACAUGAAAUACGCUCGGAUCGCAAUUACUGACUGGUGCGACCAUACCAGCGCUAACGCGCCGGAUCCCAUCAGAACUCUGGAGUUAAGCGUGCUCGGGGGAGGGUAGUCCUAGGAUGGUUGACCCCCUGGGAAGUCCUCGUGUUUUACCCCCUUUCUCCUUUUGUACAAUUUUUUUUUUACCCUUCUCGCCGCUGAAGCAGUUUUUUCCCCUCUCCCGCCCCUCCGAGCGCUCCCCGCUGGCCCCUCGCUUUCGAUCGCCCCCGGCUCCGCGGACCCCACAAUCGUUGGCCCGGUCCCUCCGCGGUUGCGAUCGCUCCCUACGCUGGACAGACAUCAAAUACGCUCGGACCGCAAUUAUUGAUGGGUGCGACCAUACCAGCACUAACGCAUCGGAUCCCAUCAGAACUCCGAAGUUAAGCGUGCUUGGGCGAGAGUAGUACUAGGAACCGCAAUUACUGACGGGUGCGACCAUACCAGCACUAACGCAUCGGAUCCCAUCAGAACUCCGAAGUUAAGCGUGCUUGGGCGAGAGUAGUACUAGGAUGGGUGAACCCCUGAGAAGUCCUCGUAUGGCACCCCUUUUCUCCUUUUGUACAAUUUUUUUUUACCCUUCUCGCCGCUGAAACAAUUUUUUUCCCCUAUCUCGCCCCUCCAAGCGCUCCCCGUUGAUCCCUCGCUUUCGAUCGCCGCCGGCUCCGCGGACCCCACAAUCGCUGGCCCGGUCCCUCCGCGGUUGCGAUCGCUCCCUACGCAGGACUUACAUCAAAUACGCUUGGACCGCAAUUACUGACUGGUGCGACCAUACCAACACUAACGCACCGGAUCCCAUCAAAACACCGAAGUUAAGCGUGCUUGGGCGAGAGUAGUACUAGGAAGGGUGACCCCCUGGGAAGUCCUCGUAUAACACCUCUUUUCUCCUUUUGUACAAUUUUUUUUUACCCUUCUCGCCGCUGAAGCAAUUUUUUUCCGCUAUCCCGCCCCUCCAAGAGCUCCCCGCUGGCCCCUCGCCUUCGAUCGCCGUCGGCUCCGCGGACCCCACAAUCGCUGGCCCGGUCCAUCCGCAAUUGCAAUCGCUCUCGGAGCUGGACUGACAUUAAAUACGCUCGGACCGCAAUUACUGACGGGUGCGACCAUACCCGCACUAACGUACCGGAUCCCAUCAGAACUCCGAAGUUAAGCGUGCUUGGGUGAGAGUAGAACUAGGAUGGGUGAACCUCUGGGACGUCCUCGUGUUGCACCCCUUUUCUCCUUUUGUAUAAUUUUUUUUUACCCUUCUCGCCACUGAAGCAAUUUUUACCCUAUCCCACCCCACCAAGCGCUCCCCGCGGGCCCCUUACUUUCUAUAGCCACGGGCUCCGCGGACCCCACAAUCGCUGGCCCGUUCCCUCCGCGAUUGCGGUCACUCCCUGCACUGGACUGACAUCAAAUACUCUGGGAUCGCAAUUACUGACGGGUGCGACCAUACUAGCAUUAACGCACCGGAUCCCAUCCGAAAUCCGAAGUUAAGCGUUCUUGGGCGAGUGUAGUACUAGGAUGGGUGACCCGUUGGGACGUCCUCGUGUUGCACCCCUUUUCUCCUUUUGUACAAUUUUUUUUUACCCUUUUCGCCGCAGAAGGAAUUUUUUUCCCUAUCCCGCCCCUCCAAGCGCACCCCGCUGGACCCUCGCUAACGAUUGCCGCCGCCUCCGCGAACCCCACAAUCGCUGGCCCGGUCCCUCCAUAGUUGCUAUCGCUCCCUGCGUUGGACUGACAUCUAAUACGCUUGGACCGCAAUUACCGACGGAGCGACAAUACCAGCACUAACGCCCCGGAUCCCAUCAGAACUCCGAAAUUAAGCGUGCUUGGGCGAGAGUAGUACUAGGAUGGUUGACCCCCUGGGAAGUCCUCGUGUUGCAUCCUUUUCGCCUUUUGUGCAAUUUUUUUUUACCCUUCUCGCCGUCGAAGCAAUUUUUUCCCCUAUCCCGCCCCUCCAAGUGCUCCCCGCUGGCCCCUCGCUUUCGAUCGCCGCCGGCUCCGCGGACCCCACAAUCGCUGGCCCGGUCCCUCCGCGAUUGCGAUCGCUCCCUGAGCUGGACUGAUAUCAAAUACGCUCGGUCAGCAAUUACUGACGGGUGCGACCAUACCAGCACUAACGCACCGGAUCCCAUCAGAACUCUGAAGUUAAGCGUGCUUGGGCGAGAGUAGUACUAGGAUGGGUGACCCCCUGGAAAGUCCUCGUGUUGCACCCCUUUUCUCCUUUUGUACAAUUUUUUUUUACCCUUCUCACCGCUGAAGCAAUUUUUUUCCAAUAUCCCGCCCCUCCAAGCGCUCCCCACUGUCCCCUCGCUUUCGAGCGCCGUCGGCUCCUUAGACCCCAUAAUCGUUGGCCCGGUCCCUCCGCGGUUGCGAUCGCUCCCUGCGCUGGACUGACAUCAAAUACGCUCGGACCGCAAAUACUGAUGGGUGCGACCAUACCGGCACUAAAGCACCGGAUCCCAUCAGAACUCCGAGGUUAAGCAUGCUUGGGCGAGAGUAGUACUAGGAUGGGGGACCCCCUGGGAAGUCCUUGUGUUACACCUCUUUUCCCCUUUUGAACAAUUUUUACCCUUCUCGCCGCUGAAGCAAUUUUUUCCCCUAUCCUGCCCCUCCAAGCGCUCCUCGCUGGCCCCUCGCUUUCGAUCGCCGCCGGCUCUGCCGACCCGACAAUUGCAGGCCCGGCUAUCGCUCCCCGCGCUAGAAUGAUAUCAAAUACGCUCGGACCGCAAUUACUGACGGGUGCGACCAAACCAGCACUAACGCACCGGAUCCCAUUAGAACUCCGAAGUUAAGCGUGCUUGGGCGAGAGUAGUACUUGGAUGGGUGACCCCCUAGAAAGUCCUCGUGUUGCACUCCUUUUCUCCUUUUGCACAAUUUUUUUUACCCUUCUUGCCGCUGAAGCAAUUUUUUCCCCUAUCCCGCCCCUUCAAGCGCUCCACGCUGGCCCUUCGCUUUCGAUCGCCGCCGGCUCCGCGGACCCCACAAUCGUUGGCUCGGUCCCUCCGCGGUUGUGAUCGGUCCCUGCGCUGGACUGACAUCAAAUACGCUCGGACCGCAAUUAUUGACUGGUGCGACCAUAACAGCACUAACGCACCGGAUCCCAUCAGAACUCCGAAGUUAAGCGUGAUCGGGCGAGAGUAGCUCUAGGAUGGGUGACCCCCUGGGUAGUCCUCGUGUAGCACCCCUUUUCUCCUUUUGUACGAUUUUUUUUUACCAUUCUCACCGCCGAAGCAAUUUUUUCCCCUAUCCCGCCCCUCCAAGCGCUCCCUGCUGGCCCCUCGCUUUCGAUAGCCGCUGGCUCCUUGGACCCCACAAUCACUGGCCCGGUCCCUCCGCGGUUUUGAUCGCUCCCUGCGCUGGAUUGACAUCAAAUACGCUCCGACCGCAAUUACUGAUGGGUGCGACCAUACCAGCACUAACGCACCGGAUCCGAUCAGAACUCCGAUGUUAAGCGUGCUUGGGCGAGAGUAGUACUAGGAUGGGUGACCCCCUGGGAAGUCCUCGUGUUGCACCCUUUUUCUCCUUUUGAACAAUUUUUUUUUUUACCCUUCUCGCCGCUGAAGCAAUUUUUCCCCCUAUCCCACCACUCCAAGCGCUCCCCGCCGGCCCCUCACAUUGGAUCGCCGCGGGCUCCGCGGACCCCACAAUUGCUAGCCCGGUCCCUCCGCGGUUGCUAUCGCUCCCUACGCUGGACUGACAUCAAAUACGCUCGGACCGCAAUUAAUGAUGGGUGCGACAAUAUCAACACUAACGCACCGGAUCCCGUAAGAACUCCGAAGUUAAGCGUGCUUGGGCGAGAGUAGUACUAGGAUGGUUGGCCCCCUGGGAAGUCCUCCUGUUGCACCCCUUUUCUCCUUCUGCCCAAUUUUUUUUUCUACCCUUCUCGCCGCUGAAGCAAUUUUUUCCCCUAUCCCGCUCGUCCAAGCGCUCCCCGCUGGCCCCUAGCUUUCGAUCGCCGUCGGCUCCGCGGACCCCACAAUCGCUCCCUGCGCUGGACUGACAUCAAAUACGCUCGGACCACAAUUACUGAUGGGUGCGACCAUAUCAGCACUAAUGCUCCGGAUCCCGUCAGAACUCCGAAGUUAAGCGUGCUUGGGCGAGAGUAGUACUACGAUGGUUGGCCCCCUGGGAAGUCCUCCUGUUGCACCCCUUUUCUCCUUUUGCACAAUUUUUUUUUCUACCCUUCUCGCCACUGAAGCAAUUUUUUCCCCCAUCCCGCCCGUCCAAGGGCUCCCCGUUGGCCCCUCGCUUUCGAUCGCCGUGGGCUCCGCAGACCCGGACCCCACAAUCGCUGGCCCGGUCCCUCCUCGGUUGCGAUUGCUCCCUGCGCUGGACUGACAUCAAAUACGCUCGGACCGCAAUUACUGACUGGUGCGACCAUACCAGCACUAACGCACCGGAUCCCAUCAGAACUCCGAAGUUAAGCGUGCUCGGGCGAGAGUAGUACUAGGAUGGGUGAACCCCUGGGACGUCCUCAUGUUGCACCCCUUUUCUCCUUUUGUACAAUUUUUUUUUACCCUUCUCGCUGCUGAAGCAAUUUUUCCCCUAUCCCGCCCCUCCAAGCGCUCCCCGCUGGCCCCUCGCUUUCGAUCGACACGGGCUCCGCAGACCCCACAAUCGCUGGCUCGGUCCCUCCGCGGUUACGAUCGCUCCCUACGCUGGACUGACAUCAAAUACGCUCGGGCCGCAAAUACUGAUGGGUGCGACCAUAACCACACUAACGCACCGGAUCCCAUCAUAACUCCGAAGUUAAGCGUGCUUGGGCGAGAGUAGUACUAGGAUGGGUGACCCCCUGGAAAGUCCUCGUGUUGCACCCCUUUUCUCCUUUUGUACAAUUUUUUUUUACCCUUAUCGCCGCUGAAGCAAUUUUUUUCCGCUAUCCCGCCCCGCCAAGCGCUCCCCACUGGCCCCUCGCUUUCGAUCCCCGUCUGCUCCGCGGACCCCACAAUCGUUGGCCCGUUCCCUCUGCGGUUGCGAUCGCUCCCUGCGCUGGACUGACAUCAACUACGCUCGGACCGCAAAUACUGACGGGUGCGACCAUACCGGCACUAAAGCGCUGGAUCCCAUCAGAACUCCGAAGUUAAGCAUGUUUGGGCGAGAGUAGUACUAGGAUGGGUGACCCCCAGGGAAGUCCUCAUAUUACACCCCUUUUCUCCUUUUGAACAAUUUUUUUUUUUACCCUUCUCGCCACUGAAACAAUUUUUCCCCUAUCUCUCCCCUCCAAGUGCUCCCCGCUGGCCCCUCGCAUUCGAUUGCCGUCUGCUCCGCGGACCCCACAAUUGCUGGCCCGAUCCCUCCGCGGUUGCUAUCGCUCCCUGCGCAGGACUGAUAUCAAAUACGCUCGGACCGCAAUUACUGACGGGUGCGACCAUACCAGCACUAACGCACCGGAUCCCCUCAGAACUCCAAAGUUAAGCGUGCUUGGGCGAGAGUAGUACUAGGAUGGUUGACCCCCUGGGAAGUCCUCGUGUUGCACUCCUUUUCUCCUUUUGUACAAUUUUUUUUAUACCCUUCUCGCCGCUGAAGCAAUUUUUUCCCCAAUCCCGCCCCUCCAAGCGCUCCCCGCUGGCCCCUCGCUUUUGAUCGCCAUGGGCUCCGCGGACCCCACAAUCGCUGGCCCGGUCCUUCCGCGGAUGCGAACGCUCCCUGCGGUGGACUGACAUCAAAUACGCUCGGACCGUAAUUACUGACUGGUGAGACAAUACCAGCACUAACGCACCGGAUCCCAACAGAACUCCGAAGUUAAGCGUGCUGCGGCGAGAGUAGAACUAGGAUGGGUGAACCCCUGGGACGUCCUCAUGUUGCACCCCUUUUCUCCUUUUGUACAAUUUUUUUUUACCCUUCUCGCCACUGAAGAAAAUUUUUCCCUAUCCCGCCCCACCAAGCGCUCCCCGCUGGCCCCUUGUUUUCUAUAGCCGCGGGCUCCGCGGACCCCACAAUCGCUGGCCCGUUCCCUCCGCUGUUGCGGCCGCUCCCUGCGCUGGACUGACAUCAAAUACGCUCGGACCGCAAUUACUGAUGGGUGCGACCAUAUCAGCACUAACGCACCGGAUCCCGUCAGAACUCCGAAGUUAAGCGUGCUCAGGCGAGAGUAGUACUAAGAUGGGUGAACCCCAGGGACGUCCUCGUGUUGCACCCCUUUUCUCCUUUUGUACAAUUUUUUUUUACCCUUCUCGCAGCUGAAGCAAUUUUUUCCCCUAUACCGCCCCUCCAAGCGCUCCCCGCUGGCCCCUUGCUUUCGAUCGGCGUCGGCUCCGCGGACCCCACAAUCGCUGGCCCGGUCCCUCCGCGGUUGCGAUCGCUCCCUGCGCUGGACUGACAUCAAAUACGCUCGGACCGCAAUUACUGACGGGUGCGACCAUACCAGCACUAACGCACCGGAUCCCAUCAGAACUCCGAAGUUAAGCGUGCUUGGGCGAGAGUAGUACUAGGAUGGGUGACCCC
rnacentral:lncRNA from 1 species